rnacentral:lncRNA from 1 species
AAUGAUGUACAAAAAGAUAGCCACCAUUUCCUCAACAUUCAUGUUUUUUGUUGGUGUAAGCCUACCAAUGCAUUGAAGCAUAUUACACAGUUUAUAAAAUGCAGCUCUAUCCAUUCUAAUAUUUUCAAUGCAUGUUAAAUCAGAAUCAAACACCAUUCUCCUAAAAUUCAAUUGCCUAAUAAUAUGUCUCCUAUAAGUAUUAGUUUUGGAUCUUUU